UAAGCAAAGCAACGGCGCUGAAUCAGGCUGAGGGGCGACACGGUUUUGCAGCCUGCCGCAUCCACAUAGCAUCUCAAGAUACACGUCAAGACUAUUUAGGCCUCAUGAUAAAUAAAAACAGUUGGUUUAAGGAGCAGAUGAACGAUAGGAUCCGAUGGUUACGAGCCUAUGGCAUAAUAAAACACCUUUAUCUCCAGUUUAAUAGGCCUGGCUGUCGUUUGCAAAGGCUUUCCGACCGCAAAGGAAGUUCAAGUAGCCUUACAAUGCGCCAGCUGCAGGGUAUAUGGUGGGUGUGGCUGGUUGGCGUCACUUCUGGUACGUUCGUUGUCUCCAUUGAAUUUCUGUUUAACAAAUUUGAUUUUUAAUUUGGAAGGUAUAAUUAAUUUAAUAUCCAAUAAAAUAGAUUGAAUAUGAAA